rnacentral:rRNA from 1 species
UACGGAGGAUCCGAGCGUUAUCCGGAUUUAUUGGGUUUAAAGGGUGCGCAGGCGGGAGAUUAAGUCGGCGGUGAAAUUUUGCAGCUCAACUGUAAAAGUGCCUUCGAUACUGGUUUCCUUGAGUGUGGAUGAAGUAGGCGGAAUUUGUGGUGUAGCGGUGAAAUGCUUAGAUAUUACACAGAACACCGAUUGCGAAGGCAGCUUACUAAUCCAUCAUUGACGCUGAGGCACGAAAGCGUGGGGAUCAAACAGGAUUAGAUACCCU